rnacentral:rRNA from 1 species
GAUGAACGCUAGCGGCAGGCUUAAUACAUGCAAGUCGAGGGGCAGCAGCUUUGUAGCAAUACAGGGGCUGGCGACCGGCAAACGGGUGCGGAACACGUACGCAACCUUCCUUUAACUGGAAGAUAGCCCACCGAAAGGUGGAUUAAUACUCCAUAACAUAUUGAAGAGGCAUCUCUUUGAUAUUAAAGCUCCGGCGGUUAAAGAUGGGCGUGCGUCUGAUUAGGUAGUUGGCGGGGUAACGGCCCACCAAGCCUUCGAUCAGUAGCUGAUGUGAGAGCGAGAUAAGCCACACGAGCAGUGGGACCAGGGCCCGAAUCCAACGGGAGGCAGCAGUAAGGAAUAUUGGUCAAUGGACGCAAGUCUGAACCAGCCAUGCCGCGUGGAGGAUGAAGGCCCUCUGGGUUGUAAACUUCUUUUCUUUGGGACGAAACCCCUGUUUCUACGGGGACUGACGGUACCAGAGGAAUAAGCACCGGCUAACUCCGUGCCAGCCGCCGCGGUAAGAC